GACAGAGGGUGCAAACGUUGUUCGGAAUUACUGGGCGUAAAGAGCUCGUAGGCGGCUUGUCGCGUCGGAUGUGAAAGCCCGGGGCUUAACUCCGGGUCUGCAUUCGAUACGGGCAGGCUAGAGUUCGGUAGGGGAGAUCGGAAUUCCUGGUGUAGCGGUGAAAUGCGCAGAUAUCAGGAGGAACACCGGUGGCGAAGGCGGAUCUCCUGGGCCGAUUACUGCUGAGAGCGAAAGCGUGGGGA
rnacentral:rRNA from 1 species